rnacentral:lncRNA from 1 species
GGUAGCAUACUAUAUUUAUUUUUUUUUGAAAAAAAAUCAAGAAAAAGAUUGAAAAUAGUAUACGGUGCUACAGUUAAAUUCUAUAGACGAAAAAGGCUAAAAUACGGAAAAAUUCUUAUGUAAAUACAGCUCGUUUUUGUAACCUUUUUUUCCAACCAUCAAAAAUCUAUAUUUUGCCUUAUUAAAAUUUUAGAAAUAAUUUUCAGGAUGUAUGGUGUUAAUGGAUAAGAUGAAAUAACUAAAUUACCUAUAUUUGUUCCAUAAAAAAAAUAAUUUUAAUAUAUUUUGUUAUUUUUAAGCAUAUUUUCGAUAUAUACUAUACGAAAUGGGCGGUAUAGUGAUAGAACCCUGGGGGGAGGGGAGGUAAAUGCAUCAAUUUAAAAUUCUGAGAGAGCAAAAUAUAAAUUUUUAAAAGUUAGAAAAAAAUAUUUACAGAAAAUUUUUUUAUAUUUUAGCUAUAAAUAUUAAGACAAGGCUAG